AUGAAUACCCAAUUCCCUACUGUAGAUGCAAAUAAUUCAUAUGGUGUUACUAGAUCAUUCAAUGAUUAUACGGUAUUGGCCAGCCCUAGUUUUUUCAAUGCAUCUAAUUACGUGCAUAGGCCGAUCCAAAGUAUUUUACAUAUUUCAACUUCUUAUGAUACUAAUAACAUACAACGUAUGUAUCCUAACUCUCAUGCAUCGGCAACCCCACAAAUCCAUAUGCCGAUGAACAACAUGAUGGGUUUGGUUAAUCAAUUUGAAACACCUUAUGUUAAAAUUUCCAAUGGCAUACAAGAAAGUGUUUCGCCCUUUUAUUCAUCGGCAACUAAUUUGCAAUAUGUGAAUCCAACCUUGCCGAUGUAUGGGAGAAUUGGCCAUACUGCUACUAGCUAUUCGGCCAGUUACUCUCAACCAUCAUAUGCUACACCUCAUGACAGUAAUAUUUCAGCAGCAUACACAACUGUAGAUGUUCGGUUUCACACCUUUCUGGUCAUAGCCGAAUAA
rnacentral:rRNA from 1 species